GGAACUGGGGAUAAUUCCGGAUAACGCACAUAUGCUGGAAUGCUUUAUGCGUAAAAUGGAUUCGUCUGCCCAAGGAUGGGUCUGCGGCCUAUCAGGUAGUAGUGGGUGUAAUGUACCUACUAGCCUACGACGGGUACGGGUUGUGAGAGCAAGAGCCCGGAGAUGGAUUCUGAGACAUGAAUCCAGGCCCUACGGGGCGCAGCAGGCGCGAAAACUUUACAAUGCGGGAAACCGUGAUAAGGGGACACCGAGUGCCAGCAUCCUAUGCUGGCUGUCCAGGUGUGCAAAAUACACCUGUUAGCAAGGGCCGGGCAAGACCGGUGCCAGCCGCCGCGGUAACACCGGCGGCCCGAGUGGUGAUCGUGAUUAUUGGGUCUAAAGGGUCCGUAGCCGGUUUGGUCAGUCCUCCGGGAAAUCUGACAGCUUAACUGUUAGGCUUUCGGAGGAUACUGCCAGACUUGGAACCGGGAGAGGUAAGAGGUACUACAGGGGUAGGAGUGAAAUCUUGUAAUCCCUGUGGGACCACCUGUGGCGAAGGCGUCUUACCAGAACGGGUUCGACGGUGAGGGACGAAAGCUGGGGGCACGAACCGGAUUAGAUACCCGGGUAGUCCCAGCCGUAAACGAUGCUCGCUAGGUGUCAGGCAUGGCGCGACCGUGUCUGGUGCCGCAGGGAAGCCGUGAAGCGAGCCACCUGGGAAGUACGGCCGCAAGGCUGAAACUUAAA
rnacentral:rRNA from 1 species